GUAUGGCCAACUCAAAGCCCUUCUUGGCACAGACCUCGCCUUUAAGAGAGAGGCUGUUGGAGCUGCUAGGAACAGAAGUCCCCACCUCCCGCAGUGGCUCACCCUCUAGACUAGUCACCAUCCCUUCGGGACCUGGACCCAAAAUGAUGUGCAAGAUUCUGCUCCUAGCAAUGGCUUCUGCCCACAGGCCAUGAUUUAGCCGAAAAUGAUGACGGAGCCUCGCUCUGUGAGCAGAGCCCAGGCCGGGUGUGAAGACCCUUCAUACCUUAAAAGGGAAUGUUUCUCUAAGUGGGGGAGAGGGUUGGGGGCGAUGAGGAUCAAGGAGGGCGCUUGUUACAAUGAGCGCUGGGUGGCUGGGUGUUGUAUGAAGUGCUGAGUCACUACACUGUACACUUGAAACUAAUGUUACAGUGCAUGUUAACUGGAAUUUUAUUUUAUUUUUUAAGAUUUUAUUUGUUCAUGAGAGAGAGAGAGAGAGAGAGAGAGAGGGGCAGAGACACAGGCAGAGGGAGAAGCAGGCUCCAUGCAGGGAGCCUGAUGUGGGACUCGAUCCCAGGACUCCAGGAUCAGGCCCUGGGCUGAAGGCAGCGCCAAACCACUGAGCCACCCGAGCUGCCCACUAACUAGAUUUUAAAUAAAAAAAUUUUUAAAAGGAUAUGCUUCUUGUGGUGACACCAGAAUUAUCAGGAGGAACUGUGCAAGAGGGUGUCAGAGGCAACCAUGAGAUGGGGUGCACGCAGUCGUCUCUCUUUCAGUCCUAACAUCGCAGUCUGGCUGCGCGGGAAAGACCCAAGACGGAGAGAGGGCGCCCCUUUGGCCAUCACGCUUAGAACAAUAUUCUUCUUUCACCAUCACCUGGCACACCUAGACUAUGCACUCAUCAUGUGGCAGGCAAAACACUAGACACCCCAUAAACCUGAUGGCGAGCUCGGCAGAGGCGGCCCAGCCUCACGGGGCUUAGGGUCCCCUGGGGAACCAGGGGAGUCGCCCGGAGAGGGUCAGGCCCGUGUACUCACCUGGCCGGCCUGCACUCCCUCCUCUGCCUGUAACAGUGUGGGUCCUGUCCUCCGUGGUACCGACGUUGUAGCCCAGGAAGCUCCUGCCCUUGCUCGGUGGGCAGCAAGGGGCCCAGGGCUCCCGUGGGACAGGGACACACCUGAGCCUGAAGUGCGGCCUCCAAUCAAUACAUGCGCACUGACAAAGCUAAAAUGCGCCUGCAGCACCAGCCCCUUGGCUGCACAUCCCACUCUACGCUCCAGCAUCCGCAAGAGCUAGGCACGGUCAUCGUUACGCUAGAAGCACAGAGGAACCGGGGACUCGGGACACUGAAGUGACCGUCUAGGUUACACGGGCAGACCCCGCUCCAGGGGUGGCAGCUGGGAUGUGACCCCGGCAGUCUGGCUCCCGCUGAACCUGGCCCACAUGAGGCUCCGUGAGGGGCCAACGUGGCAUAAGCGUGGGGCUGGAGAGCACAGACAGCAAACGCUGAAGGGCAUUUCCACGUGCCGGGGCCAUCCUGGCUCCCACCACGACCCUCGGCGCUAGGGUUUUACAGUUGACACACACACAGAGGCUAAGGAACUUACCCAAGUGACACGGUGAGCAAGUGGCAGAUGUGUCAGUGCUUCUCAGUCAGAUCCUCCUGACUUUUACUAUGUGUAUGAAUCACCUGGGGAAUCGCGUUAAACCACGGGUUCAGACUCAGUACGUCGGGGGCUGGGCCCCAAACUCUGCGUAACUAAGAAGCUCCCAUGUGAUGCCGAUGCUGCUGGUCCAUGGGUCAUCUUUAAGCAGCGAGGCCUUAUGCUAUCUCGCCUCCUGGUCGUUCAGCUGUUUUAUCCUCAACUGAGCAUUUCCAAAUGACUCAGCGUGUUAGCGGCAUCAUUUUAGCCAAUUUUCAUUGAGGGCUUCUCUGUACCAGGCCCUGUAUGGAGAGCUUUCCAUUAAAUGAAGUAGGAUACAAUUAGUGUCCCCAUCUUACACAUGAGGAAACCGAGGCCCAGAAAGUCUAGAGAACCUGCCCAAGGUCACAGAGACAGCAAGUGGCAGAGCCGGCCCCACUGGUUCCGGCAAGAUGCCUGCAAAGCAGAGAAGCGGAAGCGUUUCUAGCUCAUGUCUGUGGAGAACACCCAGGUGGAGAGAGCGUUCAAUGUUUUAAAGCAAGGCCUAGAAUCCAUCUGGUUCUCGUAACACAGAGUCCAGUGCCUCUUCCCUCUUCCCUUCCUGAACCUUGAGCAAAAAGAUUUCAGUAAGAGAUUUCUUCUUUCAGACAGAGCUGAAGGAGUCCUUAACCAAGCCAUCAUCAUCCCUCAGGGACUUGAACUUGCCUAGCUCAGCUGUCUCCCUUUUCAAAGUCCAUUAUGCUGGUUAGAAUCCCUGGAGGCCUGUAGCAUCAGGGGAAGUAACCAGAGGCCUCCAGAGCUCCUGGGGAGCCCCUGCCAUUGCAGACCAGAGUACACCUUCCCAGUUACUUAUCACUAAUUCAAUUCAACAGCAGUGGUGGCAGCUCCUCAAGCCCAAGACCUGCUGUGAACCUUCAAGGACUCUGUGGUUCUCCUGCCCUGAACCCUUGGGCCCCAGCUACUAUCCCCUCUCCUCUCCCUGCUUUAUUAGGUACUCAUCUCUUCUUUCCUCAAACUGGCUUUCCAGAAAGGAUCCUUUGAAUUCUAAAUUGAUGCCAGAUAAUGCUCAAACAAUUGCAUCAGUUAUGUCAGGUGCAGGGUGGGGGGUGGGAUGGGGACAGAGGUCUCAGAGAUUCCAAAGAUUCCUGCCCUUGGGAAGUUCACAGCUUAGUGGGGGUAACAAAUACAGGAGGAAUUUCCUGAGAGAGGUAACUUCUCAGAUGUAAGCACAUCAAGGGCACUGCGGAGGCCCAGAGGCAUCGGAGAUGCUAUCACAGGUGAAUUCUGAAGACUGGGUCAGAGGCAGCCAGUGCAAAGGUAUCUCCAGCAGAAGCAACAGCGUGAGCAAAAGCACAGAAGGACAGACAGCUCAGGUAUUUUGUACUUUGGGGGCAUAAAAUACAAAACAAGGAGUGGCCAAAAACGAGACAGAAGAACAAAAUAAGAGUAACGUCAAGGAAGUCCCCAGUUACCACAUCAAGGAGCUUGGACCUGCUUCUCCAGGCAGCUGUUCUCAAAUCAUUCCUGAGGGUCCCAUUUGGAAGGCUGAGCACAGACAUGUGAGCGCCCACCCUGCGGUCUCCACCGCCACCAGGGCAGCUUUUUGCCCCCUUCUGCUUUACAUAUUCAGCGCUCUGCACACUCUGGUGUGAAGACAAAGUUCUGUUGCCAAAAGACAUGGGCAACCAACUUCUGUACCUGAUAGGACACUGAAUCCUGAUAGGAUUUCAGGGA
rnacentral:lncRNA from 1 species